rnacentral:rRNA from 1 species
GAUGAACGCUGGCGGCGUGCCUAAUACAUGCAAGUCGAGCGAACGGACGAGAAGCUUGCUUCUCUGAUGUUAGCGGCGGACGGGUGAGUAACACGUGGAUAACCUACCUAUAAGACUGGGAUAACUUCGGGAAACCGGAGCUAAUACCGGAUAAUAUUUUGAACCGCAUGGUUCAAAAGUGAAAGACGGUCUUGCUGUCACUUAUAGAUGGAUCCGCGCUGCAUUAGCUAGUUGGUAAGGUAACGGCUUACCAAGGCAACGAUGCAUAGCCGACCUGAGAGGGUGAUCGGCCACACUGGAACUGAGACACGGUCCAGACUCCUACGGGAGGCAGCAGUAGGGAAUCUUCCGCAAUGGGCGAAAGCCUGACGGAGAAACGCCGCGUGAGUGAUGAAGGUCUUCGGAUCGUAAAACUCUGUUAUUGGGGAAGAACAUAUGUGUAAGUAACUGUGCACAUCUUGACGGUACCUAAUCAGAAAGCCACGGCUAACUACGUG